rnacentral:rRNA from 1 species
UACGUAGGGUGCAAGCGUUAAUCGGAAUUACUGGACGUAAAGCGUGCGCAGGCGGUGAUGUAAGACAGAUGUGAAAUCCCCGGGCUCAACCUGGGACCUGCAUUUGUGACUGCAUCGCUAGAGUACGGUAGAGGGGGAUGGAAUUCCGCGUGUAGCAGUGAAAUGCGUAGAUAUGCGGAGGAACACCGAUGGCGAAGGCAAUCCCCUGGACCUGUACUGACGCUCAUGCACGAAAGCGUGGGGAGCAAACAGG